ACAGUGAGCCUAAAAAGGAGAAUGAGAAAGAAGUUGAUAAAAAAGCUGUUGUUACAAGCCUCUUAAGUGAAACGGAGUGUUGAAAUGGUGACCAUAUGCUACCUUGAGGGCUCAAGAAUGUUUUGAUGCAUAGAGACACUAAUCUAUGUUAGAACUUUUAUGUUUUAGUUGAACUUUUAUGUUAGAACUUUUAUGUUUUGGUUGAACUAAUCAAUGUACUCACUAGCUAAUGUUAUUUUGCUUCAAGACAAUUUUAGCUAAAAGGAUCUUGUUUGACUUAUGUAUGUUUUUGCAUAUUAUAUACAUGUAAACUUGCUUAUUAAAA